GGCGGCAGGCUUAACACAUGCAAGUCGAGCGCCUCGCAAGAGGAGCGGCAGACGGGUGAGUAACGCGUGGGAAUCUACCCAUCUCUACGGAACAACUCCGGGAAACUGGAGCUAAUACCGUAUACGUCCUUCGGGAGAAGGAUUUAUCGGAGAUGGAUGAGCCCGCGUUGGAUUAGCUAGUUGGUGGGGUAAUGGCCUACCAAGGCGACGAUCCAUAGCUGGUCUGAGAGGAUGAUCAGCCACAUUGGGACUGAGACACGGCCCAAACUCCUACGGGAGGCAGCAGUGGGGAAUAUUGGACAAUGGGCGAAAGCCUGAUCCAGCCAUGCCGCGUGAGUGAUGAAGGCCCUAGGGUUGUAAAGCUCUUUCAACGGUGAAGAUAAUGACGGUAACCGUAGAAGAAGCCCCGGCUAACUUCGUGCCAGCAGCCGCGGUAAUACGAAGGGGGCUAGCGUUGUUCGGAAUUACUGGGCGUAAAGCGCACGUAGGCGGAUUGUUAAGUUAGGGGUGAAAUCCCGGGGCUCAACCCCGGAACUGCCUUUAAUACUGGCAAUCUC
rnacentral:rRNA from 1 species